rnacentral:lncRNA from 12 species
UCCCCGCUACCACGGGCGCUCGGCCACCGUGUGGUCCCUGGGCGUGCUGCUCUACGACAUGGUGUGUGGGGACAUUCCUUUCGAGCAGGACGAGGAGAUUCUCCGGGGCCGCCUCUUCUUCCGGAGGAGAGUCUCCCCAGAGUGCCAGCAGCUCAUCCAGUGGUGUCUGUCGCUGCGGCCCUCAGAGCGGCCCUCGCUUGACCAAAUCUCAGCACACCCCUGGAUGCUGGGCGCCGAGGGGGCCCCCGCCGAGAGCUGUGACCUGCGCCUCUGUGCCCUGGAUGUGGACGACGGGGCCAGCACCACCUCCAGCAGCGAGAGCUUGUGAGGAGGCGCCCGGGCCUGGCUCGCGGGAGCCGGAGGGACCGACCCGCCUCAGCUGCGGCCGCUUCUUGCGGAAGCAGUGACCUCUGGCUCCCGGUGACCUCUGCCUCAGGCACCGGGCUGCUUCCUCUGCUUUGAGUGCCUUUCCGAACGCUGCUGUCGCGGGACUUGGUGUUCUCAAGCUCUGUCUGUCCAAAGACGCUCCGGUCCGAGGGAGGCCCAGCUGGGCGGGUGCAGGCCCUCUGGGACGGCCCAUCGAGGGCCCAGGAGCACGUCCUGUGGCCUCAUCUCUCUGGGACACCGCCGGCGUGCCCCCCUCCUGCGUGUCCCCGGUGUUGGUCCGGGCAAGUCCGUGCACAAGCAAUGCAACGUCGGGGCUGGCGGGGGGGGAGGCCCUGGGCAGGGCUGGUCGCAGGCAGGGGCCGCUGGUGCCCAGGAGGCCUCGUGCAGGGAGGACGCCCCAGGGGGCGCAGGGGGUGGGCACCAGUCAGUGUGCGUGCGCAGGAGAGGCUUGCCCUGUGGAGCGGCGCUGACCCGGUGCUACUCCCCCCGGGGACACUGUCCUCUGUGCCUCAUCCCCCACCGCAAACGCGGAGCCGCGGCUACCCCGUCCCCCCAGCCCGGGCCCGCACGUCGUAGCCUCGAGCAGGGCCCUGGAGGACAGUGUGUCACGUUCAGAGCUCGGGAAGGGCUGGUCCCAGAGUCACUGCGCAGGGUGCCGGUGGGUGGGCAGCCUGGGGGGCAGCCCCGGGGUGUUGGAGGCCCCAGAUCUGCUGGGGAUGAUGGGGAGCAGGACAGGAUGCGGCUGGGGGCACCCAGGGGUGUGGGGGCAGCAGGGCAGCUGAGGCCAGAGGAGGCCGAGGUCAGGCCCAGGUGGGGGCCGCGUGGAGCCCCCCACAGGAAGGGGCAGAGGGAGGCAGCUUGGCCACCCCACUUCCCAGGUGACCGCACAAUCGGGCCACCCCCACGGCCCCCUUCCCCCAUGCAGGGCAGGUCUGUGCUUGGGAAACAGGCCUGAGAGGGGCCCCCCCAUCGAGCCCGCACAUGGAAACGAGCAGCCGUGAGCCUGGCUGGGGACCCCUGGGGGGCCUGGGGCGGGGGCCUAGGCUGGCUGCAGGGCACAGGCCACUGGAAGUGCCAAGGAUUCGGCCCCCGUGGGGGUCCCCCCAGGGUGAGAUUUCAGAGUACCAGGGCUCUGGCUGCGAGGGCUGCCCCGUCCUAACCUGCCGCCUGAGCCCCGGGCUCCCUGCUCGUGGCCCGGGCACCCCCACCCUGGACGGCCACCUGCAGGGCCCCUGCAGGCCCCUCAGUGCCCAGGGUCAGAGGGCUGUGCAAGCACCAGGGCAGGUGCGACCUGGGACCUGGGACCUGGGGGACCCACCGUGGGCCGGCCUCUGACUCCCCGCCCCUGGCUGCCACUGUCCCAUUGUCCCGCUGUCCCCCUGUCCCACUCCUAGCUGCGCAGGUGGCCCUGCGGACGGCCUGGCUGGAGCAGAGGGGACAGUCCCUGAAAUGCUGGCCUGUCCUCUGAGACCGGCUGCUGGCUCCGCCCGGUCCCCUGGCUCCCGCGGGCCUCUGCUGGGUGGGGGGCGCCGAGGCCACUCAUCUUGGGUCUGUUUACACUCAGGGCUCCCCUAGAGCCGCUUGGUCCAGUUCUGCACAGCGUCCACCCUUCAGGACUCAUGGGGGGCUGCGUGGAAUCCAGAGAUCAUUGUGGAAAGAACCAGAAUCCGGAGCCACAUCCAGGUUCGGCCCCCCUGCGCUUCCGGAGCAGCCCCGGCUUUGAUGGGUGCCCACGGCCGGGCCCUGGGAGGGCGGUGGGCGCCCCGGGCUGCCGUCGGGGGCCAGGCCUCAGAGUCACUGGAGGGGGGUACAGCCUAGGGCAACGGCUGCAGCUGUCGGGGCCUUGAGUCUCUAUUCCCAGCGGCAGCCCAUCGAAACGAAACCUUAGGGUGGCUUUGAUGCCGGAGCUUCACGGAAAAGGGAAGUGAUCCCUGGCAGGACCCCAGGACCCCUGC